AAUUCUGUGGCUAGUGUGGAAAUAUUCUCUGCUGUCAUUCCACUGACCUCAGGCACCAAGUCUGCUUUCAGGGGACACUGAGGGACUGUCACUCAGCCGUGUGUGCUUCUGCCAGGAAGCCCCGGAGAGGGGAGCGCUGCUGGGGGAUGUCCCUGCUCAGCUGCCUGCCCCCACACACUCUGUGCCUGGGAGGUGCUUCCGCUGACUGCAAAGUGCAGCACUGAGGGGUUUUGCUUUUCUCUUACAUUGGCACCUCUGUGUUUUGACCGAGCACUGCAGAUUUCUAUUAUCCUCCCUUUUUGUACAUUACUGACAAUAAGUUAUAUCCUCCAGAGUUCUUUAUUUGUGGGAGGGCAGAUUCUGGGGUCUGCUUUUGCUUCUUUUGAGUGACCUGUUGACUUCUGUGGCUUGGAGUUAGGUCUCUGAUGGAGUAUUUGUUGCUAAACUUCCUACCAAGAUGCUGAGAGGCAGACAAAUCUUUGUCAGCUGUGUGACAAGACACCCUGAUAUUGCUGCUUUGCUGCUCACCUGUGCCAGCUGGCCAUUGUACAGACAUGGGUGCCAAAAUGAUGAAAACAGCAGGUGAAGGUGGUCUCCACAUGGGAACAGGCAAGAGGAAGUCUUAAUUACCUGGUUCUGCUCACAUAUCCAGGGGUGGUUUCUCAAGGCAUGUUUUCAUUGGAGAGCCUCUUCUACCCAGUGCAAGAGCUACAGGAGCCCUGGGUUGGACAUCCAAACCUCACACAAGCUUUCUAAUGUUUUGAAUGGCUGCUACGGGAGCUCUUUUGUGCUUGAUCAAUUCAAGGCUACUACUUCUCUUCCUGGGAUCUGAUUAUUGACAGUCCUUUCUUGCUGGGCUCUCAGGUGUGAAAUUCUAUGGCUGGUGACAAGAAGCAGCUAAUCAAAACCACUGGACUAAAGAAGAAUUUCCUACAUACUGUGUGAACGUUGAAGAGAGAAAGGAGAAUAAAAGCAACAGACAUGGAGUAAACAGGUGAAAGAACAUGGUUUGACCUUAAGGGUAGAGCAUGAGUGACAUGAAAGGAGGAAGGAAUGACUCACAUGAGCAUGAAGAUGGAUGAGUUUGCCACUGGUUUAAUAUUACCCGUGCAGCCCUAACGCAGGCAUAGGACAGACCUCCAUGUAUCAGAUCAACUUCACAGACUGCUGGAAAAACUGAUGCUGACUUUCAGAAAGGUUCUGAAUUCAGUGAGAACAUGACUAGGCCAUGUGGGACUGGCAGAAGGAGCCAGAGGUCAUGUGGGCUGCCAAAACGUUGGAAGCACCAAACUUCGUUUUCUGUUUUCAGGAGCUGCAUCUGCUAAAGCCUUCCCUUGUGACUUUGACCUUGGACUACGUCUGAGCUUUGAGAUCCAGGAACACUGCAGGAUUUUUAGCUUAUAUGUUGGAUAUGGUCAUGUCUUAGCUGCAUAUCUGGGUUAGUCCUUGGUGUGAUAUGUUCUCCUACCAGUUCCCAUUUCCAAAAACUGGAGGACAGGUUUAGCCACAUUGUGGCUUCACAGAUCACUUUGGUGGCAGCCUAAAUCAGCUUUUUUUGCUUUGGUUCUCAAUAGAAAAAAUAAAAAUACAAAAUAGAAAUUAUAAUUUUCAACUUUGGAUAGGCCAGUGCCAUUCCUUAAUAAUUAAGCAGUAAACACAACUACUUCAUAAUCCCAAAGUGCUAAUCUUAAUAAUUUUAUAUAAAUACAUAAAUAGGUAAGGGGGUCAUGAAAUCCCACUAUGUUGAAGCCAAGAUAUGGACAGUUAAGUCAGCAAAACCCAGACAUAUAUUAGAGUCUAUCUUCCUCCAAAAUCUCUUCCUCCCUCCAGCCUGCCCCAAGAAGAGAUCCAUGAAGCCAACAGCGCCUUUAAGUACUUGGAUCUAUGUAACUACAAGCAGCAGCUUUGUCAUGAACUGGGCUGUGAAAUAUGGCCUGUGAGAUACAAAUUAGGGGCCAAAUCAUAAGGACUUAUUAAUGUUUUCGACAUUGGCUGUCUGAGCCAAGAAAAAUAUCUCUGAAGUCCCCCUAACAGUCCUCCUCUGUAAAGACUUCCUCAUUUUAGCUCCUUGCUUUUCUUUGCAGAAACAACUUCCACUCCUGGUACACUCUCUCAUCCAUUAAUGAAAAAAGUAAUGCAUCUUUAGGUUGCUGCCGUGACUUGGCCUUAGGCCCCUUAAUAUAAUGUACCCAAGGCCUUAAUUAAUUUGUAAAACUGUACAGAAGAUGAUGUCCCAAAAACCUUUGCAGAGUCAAGUCAAAAUCCUGUACUUAUCAAAGCAGAAAUAUUGAAUCAGGGCCAAGUGUAAUAUAUUUGCAUCCUUUCCAGAAAAUGAAAUGUUUUUGAGGAGAACAAAGUGCUCUUAGAUGUGCUACAGGUUUAUGCAGUGAUAUUGUGCUCAAAUUUCAAAAUUACCACUUGCAUAAGUCAAUUGCAAUAAGAAAAAUGAAAUUUCAUACUUGGGGGUUAACAUAGAUCUUUUCUCUCAGGGCCUUUUGCUAAUGCUGUCUAAGUCUAAAAACAUCUGCCAUUGACUUCAGCUGCAACAUGACGGCAUAGCUCCCUAUUGCAAAGGAACUUCGGUAGCUAUUUGGAGUUUUACCAAUAGAGGGCUCUGUUGGUUUGAUUUAAGUCACGAAGAAGGGGGAGCCAGACUUUUUUUGGAGAGGGUGAUGAGGUUGCUAUAGUAAAUCCUAUAACCUAUAUAAAAGUGGAGUCAGCUGAAGUGCAUUGAAAGAAAUGCCUAAAGGGACAUCGUUUAGGUGUUACUCUAUCUGUUUUGUUGUUGGUUUGUUUUGGUGUUUUGAGAUACUGAUGCUGGGGGACUUGCUUAUCUGCUUUUGGAAAGGCACAGUCCAGAGCACUGUGAGGGUAUUUUAGGAAUAAGGCUAUAUUAGCAGUGUGAUAAUUUUAAAUGACCUGAAAUGUUUAAACCCUACCAAAAAUAAAAUUUUAUGACUGUAACUUCUUUACCAGAUAUUUUUUAGUCAUAUUUGCCCUUACAACAUAUAUUUUAAGCAUAACACAAAGAUAGAUGUGCAUGUUAGUGAAAAAAUGAAAAUCUGUGUUAAUAAAUACAAAAGUGACUUAAGGGAAAAUAUUUUCUUUCCUAGCUAGUUAGAGUUUUUAUAAUAUCCCACUUAAGAUUGAACAUAUUACUGGCUCAGCUGUAGGAGGCCAUAAAAAUAAAGUGAAAAAUAACCUAGAGUCUUUUGGGGUGUUUAACUACUAUCAAGUAGUGCCUAACCUCUCUCACUAAACAAGGUCUUGAUGCCCUGACUCACCUCUUCACUGCCACAAUAGGCCUUCCCAUUUCACUUUUUAGUAAUUGUUCCCCAUUUCUCAGUGACUGGAAUGAUGCUGGUCUCCCAGCACAUCUUGCUUUCGCAGGUUAGACAGACUGCAGUGGAAAUGUUCCACAAAGCACAGCAGACGAAAUUCACCGUUAUUUUAAUGGGGACAGCAUGGGAAUGAAGAAAUGAAACAGUGCUAACAAACAUGCUUGUGGAUGCAUGAUGGCAAGCACACACAUCUGCAUAUAAAUAUUAUAUAUGCACAUCUUUUUAAUGGGAGUCUGUGAUUGUUAGGUGUGCUUGCCUAAACACGAACUCUACAGCUAACCAAGCAAAAACCCCCCUCUACACAAACGUGUGUUUACAUACAUACAUACAUAAGAAAAAUAUAUAUCUGGUGUAUCAUUUCAAUGCGUAUGAAAACAGUGCACUGAAGUUCAUUUUAUUGUCAAGCAUAGUUUAAAUUCCAUUUUUAUGCAAUGGUGCAGUGACAAGCUUCCUAUAAAAUAAAUAUGGGCCGCAAAUGAAAAUACUUUAGCUUGCUGGUCUUACAUUUUUUUUUGUAGUAAUGAAUACAGACUUCAACUUGUGAAAAUAUAAAAUGAUCCUGCUUUCAGUAUAAAUGUCCCUCAAAAAAUCAAUUCCAAUUUCAUCUUUGUUUUACUAAAAAAAAUGAAAGAACAAAAAGAUCAGGACUAUAAAUAAUGACUACCUGUGGUUUUCAUAAAUAAAUAUCUCUAAAGCAGUGGAAAGCUGUGGAAAUGCAUGGAUAUUUUAUUUUCUCCUCCUUCAUGAAUUUGUUGUGUUGCAGGAAUGGGUAUAAAUAGAUGUCUAGAUGUGGUGCAGAUUCAGAUUCAGCCAUUUUCUCCAAAUAAAAACAUAUGUUUCCCUCUUGA